AUAGUACUCCCUCCGUCCGGAAAUACUUGUCUUCAAAAUGGAUAAAAGGGGAUGUAUCUAGAUGUAUUUUAGUUCUAGAUACAUCUCUUUUUAUCCAUUUUGAUGACAAGUAUUUCCGGACGGAGGGAGUAGUAA
rnacentral:pre_miRNA from 1 species